UCGUGCUGAAAGAAGGAGUGAUUUCUUAUUCUACAGAUCAUAUGCUGUCAAGGACCUUCAUUCCUUAACAGUUGAUCUUUGAUUUUUUUUUUAAUCUGAUGUUGGUAAAGACCUAGUUCUUUAUCGAUGGAUCUGUUUGGUUAAAAGAUUAAGAGCCAUAAUCAGAGUAGUUUCUUAACUACCACGAUCCGGAUUCUUAUCAUCUUCUUGGAUUUUCUCAUGGGUUUAAUGUUUUAUUUUCUCUCGUUCUAUUCUUAUUUCUUUUUUUGCAUUUACUCGUGAGCAUGUUUAAUUUCUGCUAUCUGUUUAUGAAAUUUUUUAUUGCUAAUUGUUUACUGAUCUCUCGAAUGGCAUUCAUCUGUAUCAUUUAGAUUGAUCUCGCUUUAGUCUCGUAUCAAUCAAUCACGCCUCCUAAGCAGAGUAUAGGCAACUAUACUGUCUGUCUUGAGAAUAAUGAGCCCCUGGCCGGACGUGAUUUAUUGUUGAUGAACAGAAGAGAGCUUGAUUAUUAGGAUUGAUUUUCUUUUUAGGAUUGUCCC
rnacentral:lncRNA from 1 species